CAAACAUUUUGUGUAUUAAUUAGUUGUGUAAAGGUGCAGGUAAUUCAAAGUUUUGUACACGUAUACAUAUAUAUACAUGAUACUGUGAUAACUAAACAUGGAAAAGAACAAACUCAGGCCUAGGAAAGAACUUGAAGAGGCCUUACGACGAAUAAAUGACUCUUUUGAUUUCAAAAAUGGACACUUAGAAUUAUCCUCCGAUGAACGUAACAGCAGUCUUGUAACAUUCCUCAAAGAACAUUUUUACACUGAUGAAGCUUUAGGUAAAUCUUUAGGAGCAGAGUUUGAUGAAGAGAUAGCUGGAAUAUUCUCAGAAGUUUUUCGUGAAAAUCUGUCUGUUUUACUGAUAUCAGAUUCAACCGGAGAAAUAAUAGCCUGUAGGUCAAUGUGUUUAGCCAAGAAAGGCGAAAAGGCAGAUUGGUCAAAAUCCAAAAAUAGAAAAUGGGUUACAAUAAUGGACUUUUUGGGGCAUAGAUAUGAUGCAAUGGACGUAUUUAAACGAUAUAACGCAGACAUAGCAGUGUCCUUUUUUGCUCUGGCAACCCAUAGAGAUCACCGAGCACAGGGAAUAGCUUCUAAAUUAAUGAAAGCCACUCUACUAUUUUGUAAAGAACUAGGGUUAAGUCCAGUUUUCAUAAAAGGUGAAGGCACUUCAAUUUAUUCCCAGAAAAUUUAUGAAAAAUUUGGAUUUGAGACCAUUCACACCUUACCAUACGAUGAAUACAAAAUUGACGGAGAAAUCGUGUUUAAAAAUACGGGUGAAAACAAGUCAACUAAAUGUUAUGUAAAGCAACUUUGAUGUUGUUAAGUUGGACCAAUUUUUAUACGACCGCAAAAAUUAAAAAUUUUUUGGUCGUAUAUUGGUAUGACGUUGGCGUCGUCGUCGUCGUCGUCGUCGUCGUCCAGCGUCGUCCGGCGUCGUCCGAAGACACAUGGGUUUUCGCACUGUAACUUUAGUUUAAGUGAAUGGAUCUCCAUGAAAUUUCACCAUAAGGUACAAUACCACGAAAGGAAGGUUGGGAUUGAUUUUGGGGGUUAUGGUACCAACAGUUAAGGAAUUAGGGGCCAAAAAGGGGCCAAAAAUAAGCAUUUUUGUAACUUUCAGACAAUAACUUGUGUGUAAGUGUAUGGAUCUCUCUGACAUUGUACCACAAGGUUCCAUAUCACAAAGGGAAGGCUGUAAUUGAUUUUGGGGGUAAUUGCCUCAAAAUUUUAGGAAUUAGGGGCUAAAAAAGGGCAAAAAACAAGCAUUUUUCUAGUUUCAUGACAAUAACUUGUGUGUAAGUGUUUGGAUAUUUCUGAAAUUGUACUACAAGGUUCCAUAUCACAAAGGGAAAGCUGGAAUUGAGUUUGGGGGUAAUUGCCCGAAACGUUUAGGAAUUGGGGGCCAAAAAGGGGCCAAAAAUAAGCAUUUUUCUAGUUUCCAGACAAUAACUUGUGUUCAAGUGUAUGGAUCUCUCUGAAAUUGUACUGCAAGGUACCAUACCACAAAGGGAAGGCUGGGAUAGAGUUUGGGGGUGAUGAAUCAUAAGGGGGUUCAAAAAAUUUGGGGGGGGGGGGGAUUUUUUUUUUUUUUUUUUUCUUUUUUUCCUUUUUUUUUUUUUUUUAAAUUUUCCAUUUUAAGUUGGUUAUUUCUGAUUUAUAUUUAAAAGCAAAUAAUAAUGAUAUGGUAGGAGAUACACACCAAACAGGAUGUGUAAAUUAUUAUAUAAUAAGUAUUGUGCAAUAGCAAGAAAUUUUCAAUUGCACAGUAUUGCACAAUAGCAAGAAAUCUUCAAUUGCACAGUAUUGCGCAAUAGCAAGAAAUCUUCAAUUGCAGAGUAUUGCGCAAUAGCAAGAAAUAUCCAAUAGCACAAUAUUGCACAAUAGCAAGAAAUUGUCAAUUGUACAGUAUUGCGCAAUAGCAAGAAAUAUUCAAUUGCACAGUAUUGUGCAAAAGAAGAUACUUCGUAUAAAUUGCUUAUUUCUUGAUCAAUUUCAAUGGGGUUUUAUUCUUGAAUUCUUGGGGUUCUUUAAUAUGCUGAAUCUAACCGUGUAUUAAGUUUUUGGAUUUUGGGCCCCGUUUUUAAAUUGGUCCACAUUGAGGUCCAAAGGGUCCAAAAUUUAACUUUGUUUGAUUUCAUUAAAAAUUGAAUUAUUGGGGUUCUUUGAUAUGCCGAAUCUAACCGUGUAUUUAGAUUUUUAAUUUUGGGUCCCGUUUUGUAAAUUUGUCUACAUUAAGGUCCAAAGGGUCCAAAAUUAAACUUAGUUUGAUUUUAACAAAAAAUGAAUUCUUCGGGUACUUUGAUAUGCUGAAUCUAAACAUGUGUUUAGAUUUUUGAUUAUGGGACCAGUUUUCAAGUUUGUCCAAGUUGGGGUCCAAAAUUAAACUUUGUUUGAUUUCAACAAAAAUUGAAUAUAUGGGGUUCUUUGAUAUGCUGAAUCUAACCAUGUAUUUUGAUUUUGGACAUUGGACCAUAAUAGGUAAAUUAAAAAAAUUGAAGUUCUUAGACCACAUUCUUUCUGUGUCAGAAACCUAUGCUGUGUCAAAUAUUUAAUCACAAUCCAAAUUCAGAGCUGUAUCAAGCUUGAAUGUUGUGUCCAUACUUGCCCCAACUGUUUAGGGUUCGACCUCUGCGGUCGUAUCAAGCUGCGCCCAGCGAAGCAUUUUAUUUAAUAUUCUGACGAAACUGUUAAUUUUUAGACGUACAUUGAUAUUUAUAAUUUUGAAGAGACAAUUUGCAUAUCCUAGAAUUAAAUAUAUAUAUAUAUAGCAUG